rnacentral:rRNA from 1 species
CCUACGGGAGGCAGCAGUGAGGAAUAUUGGUCAAUGGGCGUAAGCCUGAACCAGCCAAGUCGCGUGAGGGAUGAAGGUUCUAUGGAUCGUAAACCUCUUUUAUAAGGGAAUAAAGUGCGGGACGUGUCCCGUUUUGUAUGUACCUUAUAAAUAAGGAUCGGCUAACUCCGUGCCAGACGCCGCGGUAAUACGGAGGAUCCGAGCGUUUUCCGGAUUUUUUGGGGUUAAAGGGUGCGUAGGCGGCCUUUUAAGUCAGCGGUGAAAGUCUGUGGGUCAACCAUAGAAUUGCCGUUGAAACUGGGGGGCUUGAGUAUGUUUGAGGCAGGCGGAAUGCGUGGUGUAGCGGUGAAAUGCUUAGAUAUCACGCAGAACCCCGAUUGCGAAGGCAGCCUGCCAGGCCAUGACUGACGCUGAUGCACGAAAGCGUGGGGAUCGAACAGGAUUAGAUACCCCUGUAGUC